rnacentral:rRNA from 1 species
GGAGAAAAGCAGGGGAUCGAAAGACCUUGCGCUUAAGGAGCGGCCGAUGUCUGAUUAGCUAGUUGGUGGGGUAAAGGCCUACCAAGGCGACGAUCAGUAGUUGGUCUGAGAGGACGACCAACCACACUGGGACUGAGACACGGCCCAGACUCCUACGGGAGGCAGCAGUGGGGAAUUUUGGACAAUGGGCGCAAGCCUGAUCCAGCCAUGCCGCGUGAGUGAAGAAGGCCUUCGGGUUGUAAAGCUCUUUCAGUUGAGAAGAAAAGAUUCUGACUAAUAAUCAUAAUUAAUGACGGUAUCAACAGAAGAAGCACCGGCUAACUACGUGCCAGCAGCCGCGGUAAUACGUAGGGUGCGAGCGUUAAUCGGAAUUACUGGGCGUAAAGGGUGCGCAGGCGGUUUUGUAAGUCGGAUGUGAAAUCCCCGGGCUUAACCUGGGAAUGGCGUUUGAAACUACAAAGCUAGAU